AUGAAGCAGCAAUUUAUCUUAAAGGGCUCGAUCAUCCCCAAAGACGUAUUUACAAGGAAAGAGGACGGCUCAGCUCUGUCCCUCCUGACACAGAGAACGCUGCCGUGUAAGCGUCCUGGGGUGGAGGCCGGCCCGGCCCUGCAGAGGCUCCCAGCCCCCCCGGUUCUUGCUGACCCAGGGCCUCCCCGGGCCGACCGCAGGGACAGAGCCGCAUACAGAGCCAGCCUGUCCCCCGCGUGCCACCCAGAUGGACCCGGUGACUGUCCAUGCCGACGAGCCCUGGUCGCCACAUCGCUCCUAGUAGGGUCCUGUUUUGCCCUCCAGUUCCCUGGUUUGCGUGGUAUUAUCGUCCUCGACCCCUGGGUCAGGUCCCACCAGGUCCCGGCUCCCCCCGAGCAGCCUGCGGGCGGCUCACUCACCCCCCUCCAGCUCGAGGCUGCUGCGGGCGCUGUGGGGCCACCAGCCUCCAGCCCCGUGGUCCGACCCGCAUGCCACGAGCUGCGUGCAGAGACGCUCCCGCUCCUGAUCCACGUCUGCCCACCUUCCUCCUGGUCCCAGGGCACCACCUGGCCCUGCAGAUCCACCAGAGAAGGCGGGACCACGGCACCCCGGGUGCUUUUGGACCGCACGCACGGCUCCACAGGAGUGGCCAGGCCGGGCCGCCGGAGGUCUGGGAGAGAAGGCCCGGUGGUGACAGGAGGGCGCACUUGUGCUCCCAGAGAGCGGCGUCCACCAGCGGUGCGGGCCCAGCACAAGGAAGACCCUAACCCGGGGCUCGGAGGUCCCACCACGCGGCCGCUGCAGUCAUGGGAGGUGCCCUGCGACGUGACCGCCUGCGAGUGGGGCUCCCGGGGCUCGCGGCUGGGGCAGCGUUGGGGGCGGGGAGGGCAGGGGUCGCUGUCAGCUAACCAGGAGGCUCUGGCCCCAAAUAAGUGGCUCCCACUGCAAACCUCUAACCAGGGGCGCCACUCGGGGUGCAGUUACCUGGAUGCGGCGGGGGCGGGGGCUGCUGCCGCUGUGGGGUGCCCCACCCGUCUGGGCCUCCGACAGGCCUGGGUAACGUUCCCACAAGCAGGGCUCCCCCAGGGGAACCUGCAGCACCUCGGGCCCCUGCACAGGCUGGUCUCACUCUUGGCAGUGGGUGGGGGGCGGGGAGGGCAGUGGGUUCACCGCCAGCGAGGGUGUCAGCGGACCCGCAGCAGUGACAGCCUGGAGUCCACAGGUGCCUCUGGGGCGGCAGAGGUUGAGCUGCUUCCGCCCAGGUGCCCCCGACCCCGACGGCCAGCCUCCAGGCCCGGGGGCAUGGGUGCCCUGUGCCCACCGCUGCUCUCCCUCCCAGCGGCCCAGAUGCUCCUUCCAGGGCGUCCUCCUUUGCUCUCCGCGCUGGUGGGCACAGACCCCCACAGCCCAGGAGGCACCCCGACUGCUCCCUGCCAUCCCCUCGGCCCACCCUGGCCCCGGGCACUGCGGCCUCUGCCCAUGGAGGUGCCGGCCCUCCCGCGUCCUCGGGCACAUGUCGGCGCAUCAGGAGGGACCGUGGGGACCGGCCCAGCUGCUGAGGGGCCUGCCGACCAUCCCAGGCCGCCCCGUCCCCGCCAGCGACCGCGUUUACACACGCACCCAUUUACGUACCAGCGUCUGUGGGGCGAUGCGGCUUCGUUUGGGAGAAAUGCUGGCGAUUCUCUCAUUGCCUCCGAUUUUCCCGUGUGCCCCCAUGGUGUGGGUGGGUUUCCUGCGGAAUUGCGCGCAGGGCGGCAGGUGCCGAGGGCAGGACAGGGCCGGAGCCCGGGCGGCCCCUCUGCUUCUGUUGGCGGGCAUCACCUCUGCCCCCUCGGUCACCGUGUCAUGGGUCCCCACCGGCACUGA
rnacentral:lncRNA from 1 species